rnacentral:ncRNA from 2 species
CGGUAAUCCGAGGGGCGCGCCGGGCGGCGCUGAGACGGCGGUGAGCCGAACCCUUGAACCUGAUCCGGGUCAUGCCGGCGUAGGGACGGAGCGAGGCCAUAGG